rnacentral:lncRNA from 1 species
GCCCUGUGCCCAGCCCCCGUCUGGCUGAAGGAGAGAGACCACGCCAGAGAGAGCUGAGCAGAAGAGGAGGCCACCGGGCAUGGGGGACCAACUCUAGGAGCUGCCAGCACCUACCACCGCAGGUUCCCAAGCUGUUCCUCUGCUCUGCACAGCCAGGAGCGGAGCCAGCCAAGGAGCGAGACUGGAGUCAAACCGAGAUCCAGAUGCCACGCUGGAAGCAGGAGAGGAGCUGUGGCCAGCGCUUGGCAUUUGGGGCAGCAGCUCAGCCAGCCUGGCUCCCGGGAGGAGCCUCGAGGAGGAGCCUGCUCCUGGAGCAGACAGAUAAAGAGGUGCCGGCCGAGGAAAACAUCACUACAGUCCAAACGGCAGCUGUUUCUUUGGGCGAUUAGAAUUGCAAUUCGGGAGACACAGAUGCAGGGCUGAGUUUAUUGUGGAGGCUGCAUAGCUGGUGGAUUCCUGCUUGCCUUGCACGGGCUCACCCCAUAGGAGUUCUAACAAGGAGCUGAUUUUCCAAUCUCAUUAAAGCAACACAUUAGAAUGAACAGGGCCCGGGGAGAGCGUCUGCAGCCCUGGGUUCCCGGAGCAUUUGUGGAAAGCCCACGGGCAGCAUGGGUGUCCCUAGGUCUGUGUUCUAGUCUCACACUUGUCCCCCGACUUGGGGUGUGAUCUUGGGCAAGUCGUUUGACUUCUCUGAGUCUCAGCUUUCUCCUUUGUAAAUCGUCU